UACAGAGGGGGCAAGCGUUGUUCGGAAUUACUGGGCGUAAAGGGCGCGUAGGCGGCCUGCUAAGUCGAACGUGAAAUCCCCGGGCUCAACCCGGGAACUGCGUCCGAUACUGGCAGGCUUGAAUUCGGGAGAGGGAUGUGGAAUUCCAGGUGUAGCGGUGAAAUGCGUAGAUAUCUGGAGGAACACCGGUGGCGAAGGCGGCUCUCUGGGACGGUACUGACGCUGAGACGCGAAAGCGUGGGGAGCGAACAGG
rnacentral:rRNA from 1 species